rnacentral:rRNA from 1 species
AUGGCUCCGACAAGAUCCACACCGCCAAUGGAGCAGGAUCGGGGCACGAGGGACAUUCUUCUUAGUGGGCGGUUGUGCCAGGGCCUCUACCGUCUGGAGCAUCCUGGUGUCGCUCGUGUUUUCAGUGGAGUUCGGGUCUCUCCGUCACAGUGGCAUGCUCGUCUUGGUCACCCGGCCACACCUAUUGUCCGUCAUAUUUUGCGUCGUCAUGAGCUUCCUAGUUUGUCUAGUCAUAAAGAUGUAGCAGUGUGUGAUGCUUGUCAGCAGGGGAAGAGUCAUCAACUUCCUUUUUCGGAGUCCAGUCGUGAGGUGAAACAUCCUUUAGAACUUGUGUUUUCAGAUGUAUGGGGUCCUGCUCAGACUUCUGUCAGUGGUCAUAAUUACUAUAUCAGUUUCGUUGAUGCUUAUAGUCGCUUUACCUGGCUUUACCUUAUUAAACGCAAAUCUGAUGUGUUUGAUAUUUUUGUUCAGUUUUAA